GGCACUGUAGACCAACUGGCCAGGAGUCGCCUCGCUUAGAACGAGGACAGUGUGGGUUCGAAUCCCACCGGUGCUA
rnacentral:tRNA from 1 species